UUAAACGUCCAUACCACGUUGAAUACACCGGUUCUCAUCCGCCCGAAGUUAAGCAACGUCGGGCGCGGUCAGUACUUGGAUGGGUGACUGCCUGGGAACACCGCGUUUUAAU
rnacentral:rRNA from 1 species